CUUGGAUGGAUGCACCGGGCUGAGUCCUGCCCUUUGCCACCGCUGUUUGCUGCUCCCUGCGGUGAAAGAGCGACCGAUGCUGAGCACAUGCUGUGAGGAGAGGGACCAGGGCGAGAGGAUGGGGACAACGGGUACCAGACAUGGCCACCCACUGCCCCGCUGAACUGGGCGGUGGCAGGAAAACCCCUUUCCUCUGGGGCAGGGAGCUGCGACCCCAGUGGGGUCCCUGUGGUGGACCUUGUCUGCAAGGAAAGUGGACGGGGAGGCAGCUACUUCACAGAGAAGGGGAGACCAGGAAGAGCCAAGGGUCAGCCCAGGGGCUCUGAGGGGACCAGAGGUGAGCGGCCAUGGGGUGUUUCAGCGCCUGGCGACGGCCGGGACCUGUGAGAGAGCAGGUAACGGUCCCCGGACGGAUCCCUCAGUGCCCGGGGGCGGGCGGGACCUGUGAGGGAGCAGCUUUCAUUCUGAACUGAGGCUCGGACACCCAAUCAAGUCCUGCAGUUUAAAUGGGUUACUAUGGACAAGACUUCUCUCAUGGACUGAGAAAAAUAAAUAACUGUUUGCAAGCUCUCUGGGAUCUCACAGCACAGCAAACAAACAAGCAAGCAAAAAAUGUUCAUGAAGUUUAUUCACAUAAUUGCCCAACACUCUCAGCUUUAGUGGAGGAGCCUCUAAAAUUCGACUCAGCAAUUGGCAGGUGGAAAGCAAGAAAGCAAGAAAUUCUUUUUCCAGAUAAGCUGAUGAGAGCAAUUGACUGAAUCUUGAGCUUCUUCCCAGAAAAAAAAUGAGUUCUAGUCUGUGAAAGACUGAAAUUUUAUGUAUAAAAUAGUUCAACUUCUCUUCGACUCCAAGAACAGAUACAGAAGGUGUUUGACAGACCUAACAAAGGCUUUAUUCAUUCUCAU